rnacentral:rRNA from 1 species
GUUUUUAAAGUCUAACCUGCCCCUGAUGUUAAUUAAAGGGCCGCGGUAAUUUAACCGUGCCAAGGUAGCAUAAUCAUUAGUCUUUUAAUUAGAGGCUUGUAUGAAAGGUUGAACAAGAAGUAAGCUGUCUCGUUUGUAAAGGUUGAAGUUGACUUUUAACUGAAAAGGCUUAAAUAAUUUAUAGGGACGAUAAGACCCUAUAAAGCUUAAUAAUUUAAUGGUUUUGGGUAAUUGAUGAGUUUAGUGUGCUAAAGCCAUUAAAUUAUUUCGUUGGGGCGACGAUAAUAUAAUUUGUAACUGUUAAGGUUUAAAGUCAAAGGUAUUUGUAUAUUAUUGAUCCUUUUUGUUGAUUAAAAAAAUUAAGCUACUUUAGGGAUAACAGCGUUAUUGUUUUUGAGAGUUCAUAUCGAAAAAAAAGUUUGCGACCUCGAUGUUGAAUUAAAAAUUUGUUACGGUGCAGGAGUUGUA